rnacentral:rRNA from 1 species
CACGCCGUAAACGAUGUCAACUAGUUGUUGGGUUCCUUGUGGACUUAGUAACGCAGCUAACGCAUUAAGUUGACCGCCUGGGGAGUACGGCCGCAAGGUUAAAACUCAAAUGAAUUGACGGGGGCCCGCACAAGCGGUGGAGCAUGUGGUUUAAUUCGAAGCAACGCGAAGAACCUUACCUGGCCUUGACAUGUAGCGAACUUUCCAGAGAUGGAUUGGUGCCUUCGGGAACGCUAACACAGGUGC